rnacentral:rRNA from 1 species
CACGGGGGUUGCGAGCGUUAAUCGGAAUUACUGGGCGUAAAGCGUGCGUAGGCGGCUUUUUAAGUCGGAUGUGAAAUCCCUGAGCUUAACUUAGGAAUUGCAUUCGAUACUGGGAAGCUAGAGUAUGGGAGAGGAUGGUAGAAUUCCAGGUGUAGCGGUGAAAUGCGUAGAGAUCUGGAGGAACACCGAUGGCGAAGGCAGUAGUCUGGGGCAACACUGACGCUGAGGCGCGAAAGUGUGGGGAGCAAACAGG